rnacentral:rRNA from 1 species
CCGCCCAGAGGUAAACGGGUGGAUCCGCAAAGUCGGUCCGCGGAAUUCAGCGCGGCGCGCGGUCCGGGGCUGCUAUUGUUUGGGAUCCUUUGGGAACCUGCAGUGGUGCCGAGCCGGGCCCCGCCGCGUGCACUUUCCGCGGACAGAGAGCCACAACCGGUUUGGUGGGCGGUCACAAGCCCUGAUGGUUGUCGGUGGGGGCGCUUGCGUCCCUACCAGCCAUCUAAGGCAAGCCGUCUCCAGACCGAGGAACCGCCGCUCACUUCGAGGCCGCCCUCCCUUCCGGGUGAGUUCGACUGGGAGAGACUGGGCAACCGUGUCUCCCGACCGCUCACUCGUGACCGGCGCGGGGUUGGCCGGGAGAGCACCCGGGUUGGUGGCAAGUCUGUCGGCAUUCCACCCGACCCGUCUUGAAACACGGACCAAGGAGUCUAACAUGCGCGCGAGUCAUUGGGCGGUACGAAACCCAAAGGCGCAGUGAAAGCGAGGGCCUGUCAAAGGGCUCAGGUGGGAUCCAGUCGCCCCCUAGGCCUUUCG